GAAUUGCAGAAUUCCGCGAAUCAUCGAGUUUUUGAACGCAAGUUGCGCCCGAGGCUUGUUCCAAGGGCAUGCCUGCCUGAGCGUCCG
rnacentral:rRNA from 1 species